AACCAGUUCUAUUAGCCAGAUGAUCUUUCAAUCAGAAGCCUGCUUAUUUUAUUUUGAAUAUUUCCAGAGGCAUGAUUUCCUGGAAACCUCUCUAUUGCUCAGAAAACAAAAACAGCUCUAGAGUAUUUUCCUAAUUAUAAGAGUGAAGAGGAACACUUCCACAACUCUUUCUUGGACCUAGAAGACCCCAUUUAACCUUACUCCACUGUAAUCAUGUUUGGUAAUUUUUAGGUUUAAAUACCUUUAUUUUCUUCCAUUUGGAUCAAGAGAAG
rnacentral:lncRNA from 1 species